rfam:Myotis lucifugus cont2.6581, whole genome shotgun sequence.
GGCAUUUCUUGGGUGAUGCACCCAGGAAUUGGUCUCCCUCCUCUCUAGUUUUGGAGUGUGUCAUCUGAGAACUGCC